rnacentral:lncRNA from 1 species
AGAACCCGUUCAAGAGCCCGAAAAAGUUGAUAAAAGUAGAGAAAGGUUGAGGAAAGCGUAAGUUUCAUGUAAUUUUUAAUAAGACAAAAAUAACCAUAAACACAUAUUGUAUACUAGUAACAUCAAACAUCAAAACAUUUUUACACUGCAAAACAACAGAAUACCGACAUAUUUGCAUGUUUCAAUAGCAGUAAAACAUUUUCAACAAUGGCAUUUCAAUGAAUACGCUACAUUAGAACAUUACCUUUUUGAACAUUACAUAUUUAUGAAAAAAACGUCAACCUUUAAUUAUAACUUUUUUUCAGAUUUCAAGGUUUUAGACUGGUGUACAAAGCAGUUCAGAGGAAGGACGGAUAAUAUGAUCAACAUAUAAUGUGAUAUUACAAUUUAAUGUAGAUAAUUGUCGGUUAUGAACAAUAUUUGUGUUCAAUUAUUGAUUUCAUGAAGGUGUUUUAUUUUUUGUUAGUUUAAAAAGAUUGAAGUUGAAUUCUUUAAAAGAUUUCAUGAUAUAUUAUGAUGUUUAUAUUUAUGAAAAAAUUAG